rnacentral:rRNA from 1 species
GGGGAAUAUUGGGCAAUGGACGCAAGUCUGACCCAGCAACGCCGCGUGAAGGAAGAAGGCUUUCGGGUUGUAAACUUCUUUUAAGGGGGAAGAGUAGAAGACGGUACCCCUUGAAUAAGCCACGGCUAACUACGUGCCAGCAGCCGCGGUAAUACGUAGGUGGCGAGCGUUGUCCGGAUUUACUGGGCGUAAAGGGUGCGUAGGCGGAUAUUUAAGUCAGAUGUGAAAACCCCGGGCUUAACUUGGGGACUGCAUUUGAAACUGGAUAUCUAGAGUGCAGGAGAGGAAAGCGGAAUUCCUAGUGUAGCGGUGAAAUGCGUAGAGAUUAGGAAGAACACCAGUGGCGAAGGCGGCUUUCUGGACUGUAACUGACGCUGAGGCACGAAAGCGUGGGUAGCAAACA